UCAGGACGAACGCUGGCGGCGUGCCUAAUACAUGCAAGUCGAACGGUCUUUCUAUGGAAGCUUGCUUCCACUGAGAAGAUAGUGGCGAACGGGUGAGUAACACGUGGGUAACCUGCCCAUAAGAGGGGGAUAACAUCCGGAAACGGGUGCUAAUACCGCAUAGUUUUCUUGAUCGCAUGAUCGGGAAAGGAAAGACGGCCUUUGUGCUGUCGCUUAUGGAUGGACCCGCGGCGUAUUAGUUAGUUGGUGAGGUAACGGCUCACCAAGACGAUGAUACGUAGCCGACCUGAGAGGGUGAUCGGCCACAUUGGGACUGAGACACGGCCCAAACUCCUACGGGAGGCAGCAGUAGGGAAUCUUCCGCAAUGGACGAAAGUCUGACGGAGCAACGCCGCGUGAGUGAAGAAAAGGUGUUCGGAUCGUAAAACUCUGUUGUCAGAGAAGAACAGGUUGGAGAGUAACUGCUCCAGCCUUGACGGUAUCUGACCAGAAAGCCACGGCUAACUACGUGCCAGCCGCCGC
rnacentral:rRNA from 1 species